GUAGGGAAUAUUGGACAAUGGGUGCGAGCCUGAUCCAGCCAUGCCGCGUGCAGGAAGAAGGCCUUCUGGGUUGUAAACUGCUUUUGCCAGGGGAUAAAAUGGCCUUGCGAGGCAAAUUGAAGGUACCUGGUGAAUAAGCCACGGCUAACUACGUGCCAGCAGCCGCGGUAAUACGUAGGUGGCAAGCGUUGUCCGGAUUUAUUGGGUUUAAAGGGUGCGUAGGCGGCCCUGUAAGUCAGUGGUGAAAUACGGCAGCUUAACUGUCGAGGUGCCAUUGAUACUGCGGGGCUUGAGUACAGACGAGGUAGGCGGAAUUGACGGUGUAGCGGUGAAAUGCUUAGAUAUCGUCAAGAACACCGAUAGCGAAGGCAGCUUACUAGGCUGAAACUGACGCUGAUGCACGAAAGUGUGGGGAUCAAACAGGAUUAGAAACCCUAGUAGUCC
rnacentral:rRNA from 1 species